AGCGAACGCUGGCGGCAGGCUUAACACAUGCAAGUCGAACGCCCCGCAAGGGGAGUGGCAGACGGGUGAGUAACACGUGGGAACGUACCCUUUGGUUCGGAAUAACUUGGGGAAACUCAAGCUAAUACCGGAUAAGCCCUUAUGGGGAAAGGUUUACUGCCGCAGGAUCGGCCCGCGUCUGAUUAGCUAGUUGGUGAGGUAAUGGCUCACCAAGGCGACGAUCAGUAGCUGGUCUGUGAGGAUGAUCAGCCACACUGGGACUGAGACACGGCCCAGACUCCUACGGGAGGCAGCAGUGGGGAAUAUUGGACAAUGGGGGCAACCCUGAUCCAGCCAUGCCGCGUGAGUGAUGAAGGCCUUAGGGUUGUAAAGCUCUUUUACCCGGGACGAUAAUGACUGUACCGGGAGAAUAAGCCCCGGCUAACUUCGUGCCAGCAGCCGCGGUAA
rnacentral:rRNA from 1 species